rnacentral:misc_RNA from 1 species
UUUCCGUAGGUGAACCUGCGGAAGGAUCAUUGUCGUGACCCUGACCAAAACAGACCGCGCACGCGUCAUCCAAUCCGUCGGCGACGGCACCGUCCGUCGCUCGGCCAAUGCCUCGACCACCUCCCCUCCUUGGAGUGGGUGGGGGCUCGGGGUAAAAGAACCCACGGCGCCGAAGGCGUCAAGGAACACUGUGCCUAACCCGGGGGCAUGGCUAGCUUGCUAGCCAUCCCUCGUGUUGCAAAGCUAUUUAAUCCACACGACUCUCGGCAACGGAUAUCUCGGCUCUC